rnacentral:rRNA from 1 species
AACGAACGUUAGCGGCGCGCCUAACACAUGCAAGUCGCACGAGAAAGGGCUUCGGCCCCGGUACAGUGGCGCACGGGUGAGUAACACGUGGGUAAUCUGCCUUCGAGCGGGGGAUAACAUUCCGAAAGGAGUGCUAAUACCGCAUAAGACCACGCCCUCGAAAGAGGAAGCGGUCAAAGCUGGCCUCUAUACAUAAGCUAGCACUCGAAAAUGAGCCCGCGGAGCAUCAGCUAGUUGGUGAGGUAAUGGCUCACCAAGGCAUAGACGCUUAGCUGGUCUGAGAGGAUGAUCAGCCACACUGGAACUGAGACACGGUCCAGACUCCUACGGGAGGCAGCAGUGGGGAAUCUUGCGCAAGUGGGCGAAAGCCUGACGCAGCGACGCCGCGUGAGUGAUGAAGGCCUUGGUUGUAAG